UGAGUGCGAGCUGCUACGGCAGCGAAGUUGGUGAUGUCAUGCUUCCAAGAAAAGCCCUAUACCCGUUAAGGCAUCAUGGCCUGUACCCGAAACCGACACAGGUGGGGUGGUAGAGAAUACCGAGGGGCGCGAGGUAACUCUCUCUAAGGAACUCGGCAAAAUGGCCCCGUAACUUCGGGAGAAGGGGUGCCACCGCAAGGUGGUCGCAGUGAAGAGGCCCAGGCGACUGUUCACCAAAAACACAGGUCUCCGCUAAGUCGCAAGACGAUGUAUGGGGGCUGACGCCUGCCCAGUGCCGGAAGGUUAAGGAAGCUGGUCAGCGCAAGCGAAGCUAGCGACUGAAGCCCCGGUGAACGGCGGCCGUAACAAUAACGGUCCUAAGGUAGCGAAAUUCCUUGUCGGGUAAGUUCCGACCCGCACGAAAGGCGUAACGAUCUGGGCGCUGUCUCGGAGAGAGGCUCGGCGAAAUAGAAUUGUCUGUGAAGAUGCGGACUACGUGCACCCGGACAGAAAGACCCUAUGAAGCUUUACUGUAGCUUGGUAUUGUGCCCGGGCUCGCAAUGCGCAGGAUAGGUGGGAGGCUUUGGUCAUCGGCUUGCGGGUCGAUGUGAGCCAACGGUGAGAUACCACUCUUUGCGAGCUAGGGUUCUAACGGCCACCCGUCAUCCGGGGGCCGGACAGUACCUGGUGGGCAGUUUGACUGGGGCGGUCGCCUCCUAAAAGGUAACGGAGGCGCGCAAAGGUUUGCUCAGGCUGGUUGGAAAUCAGCCGACGAGUGUAAAAGCAGAAGCAAGCUUGACUGUGAGACCAACAAGUCGAACAGGGAGGAAACUCGGCUUUAGUGAUCCGACGGUUCUGAGUGGAAGGGCCGUCGCUCAACGGAUAAAAGUUACUCUAAGGAUAACAGGCUGAUCUCCCCCAAGAGUUCACAUCGACGGGGAGGUUUGGCACCUCGAUGUCGGCUCAUCGCAACCUGGGGCUGAAGUCGGUCCCAAGGGUUGGGCUGUUCGCCCAUUAAAGCGGUACGCGAGCUGGGUUCAGAACGUCGUGAGACAGUUCGGUCCAUAUCCGGUGCACGCGCAGGAAUAUUGAGAGGAUUUCUCCCUAGUACGAGAGGACCGGGAGGAACGCACCUCUGGUGUACCAGUUAUCGUGCCAACGGUAAACGCUGGGUAGCCAUGUGCGGAGUGGAUAACCGCUGAAAGCAUCUAAGUGGGAAGCCCACCUCAAGAUGAGUAUUCCCAUGGCGUAAGCCAGUAAGGUCACGGGAAGAACACCCGUUGAUAGGCUCUAUGUGGAAGCGCAGUAAUGCGUGAAGCAGAGGAGUACUAAUAGACCGAGGGCUUGAC
rnacentral:rRNA from 1 species